CGCUCCGAGUCGCUCCGAGCAGCGUUGCACUGCUGCUGCGGGGGCUUUUAAACGGCUGGGGGACGGUGCAGGGCUAGGGUUGGAAGGGGACGUUUGCUGGUUCACCGGGAGGCGAGCGAGUUGGAUGCCACGAGGCGCUGAGGGGCAGCUGUGAGCCGAACCGGUCCGUUUCCGUUCCCGGGUGACGGGCGUAUAUUCGCUGUUAGCCGGAGGACUAAUCACCAUAGAGAGCGGCGGAUGAGCUGCGCAGAGCGGUUAGAUCGGCACUUCCGCAUUUCUGGGCGCAUGUGUUUUGCCGCGGGCGGGACUCGGCGGCAGGCAGCGGCAGUUCCGCGCGUUGGCCACGCGGUGGCAGCAGAGACCACGGCAAGAACUUUCCUGCCGCAUCGAUGCCGGGAUUCGGUGGUAGGCGGCGGCAGUUCCGCGCAUUGGGGGCUGCCCGUGGGGCGCGUGGAGUGCUGGGAGGAGCUGAUGGCCGUGCGCGGUGGGGUGAUGGUGCCCUCGGCGCACGGCUGUGACAGCGGGGUGGGGGUCGGUGCCCCCAAAAUGGGGUGGUGGGAGAGUUGUAUGGGGAGUGCAUGUGAAGCAGUGCUGGAGCAGCUUGUGAAGGGUGCAGCCCUGUGAGCACAGGUGGAAGCAAGGCAGCCGUGGGAGCAGAUGUGGGACCUGUGGGUCACUUAUGCGUCGCUUGUGGGGCGCUGAUGUGUCACUUUUGGGGCCCAGGCUGCUAUCAGUCAUUUGUGGGUCCCUGCUGCCCCACUUGUGGGGGUACUUAUGGGUCAAUUCCUGGUCCCUUUGCCAGUUAACGGUCCCAGGCUGCUGUGGGGCACUUCUGGGGCCGUGUGUCUCACUUGUGGGUCCAUGCUGUGCCACUUGUGAGUCACUUGUGGGGCACUGGGGGGGCACUUGUUGGUGACAGGACACUUGUGGGGCACUUAUGAGACGCUGAUGGGUCAAUUAUGGGGGACUUAUGGGGCACUUGUGGUUCAGUUGUUUGUCCCUUGCGAGGCACUUGUGGGUCCCUGUGGGUCACUUGUGGGUCACAGGCUGCUGUGGGUCAUUUGUGGGUCUCUGCGGUGCCACCUGUGGGGCUCUUGUGGCUCCCAGGUCACUGAGGGGCUUUCUGGGUCCCUCCCUGUUUCUGUGGGGUUUGGAUUGCUGUUGGAGCCAAAAGGCCACACGCUGCCAUACAGGCAGGUGCCAGGGUCACCCCCUGAGGACACCAAACCCUCCAAUGAUGUCACAGCGGCCUUUAAUUGCUGUGUGAGGAGAUGACGUGCGUUUCUCCCUGGGGAGCCGUAAGCUGAGCCUGGCAGCUGGGCAGCCAGCACUCGCUCCAUUGAUGCCGCUCAUCUCAGCCCUUGUGCUGCAUGUGCAGCUUCUCAGCACCUCGCUGUAUCAGCACUGAAAUCUGUGCUCCCCUAUUUAUUACAAAUGUCACCAAUUGCCAUGGAGGACAGGCUGGAAGCAAAGUACUCUACUCAAAGUACUAGCUCGUCCAUGGAUAAACCUCCCCUUGCCAGACAGGCAGACCCAAUUGGCCGCCGGUCAUUACUUUUUUUUUUUAUUUCAUUUUUUCCUUCCUGCUUUUAGGGGAACUUUGAGAUCACAGCCUGAAGCAGUGAUGGAGCACCUGGUGAGGGGUGCAGCCCUGCCUGCACAGGUGGAAGCAAUGUAGCCAUGGGGCAGAUGGGGCUGAGCCUGGCUCCACCCCUCCCUCGCCUCAUUGAAGGGCUGGCAGCCCCACAGGCAGGGUUUCUUCCUGGAGAUGCCUCCUGUGGAUUGCUGGGUCCUACAGGAGCUGAUGAGAACUUCAGAAAUAAAGUGGGAGCUCCAUACUCCGUGGCACCCUCCUUCUUCAGGGAAUGUAGAAUGAAUCAAUCAGAUGCUGAAAAAGCACUUGUCAGAAUUGGUUUCAGAGACCAAAUUACCAUGGGCAAAGUGUUUGCCUGUAGCCCUUGUCAGAACACGAACCACUCACAGAAAAGGCUUAGGAGUAUCACCACACGAAGUGCUGUUUGGGUUGCUGUACUUGGGAAUGGUGAGAUGCCCGCUCUUGAAACCAAGGUGCACUCAUCCCGUGUAGGAGGCUGGUCCUAAUAUGCGCCUGGAAGGAGUCAAAGCUUCAGCCCGAGUGGGAUGGAAUGGACCAUUUCAGGUACUGCAGUGGGUGUCGUCUACCUUGCCUUCAGCAAUGUUUUGUUACAGUCUUCUGUGACAUCCUGGUAAAGAAGCUUAGAAAGUGUGGGAUAGAUGAGUGGAUGAUGAGGUGGGCUGAGAACAGGUUUACUGGCUGAGCUCAGUGGUGGUGAUCGGCGG